AAGGAAUUAGCUCAACGGUAGAGCGGCCGUUUUACACACGGUAGGUUAGGUGUUCAAAUCACCUAUUCCUUA
rnacentral:tRNA from 1 species